CUCUUAUUUCUCACCCCCAUUCAUUUUACCUACCAUGAACUUCAUCUACACCCUCUUUUCCUCAUGGGGUGGCUUCAAUCCCUCUUCUCUCCAUUGAAGAAGCUUUGGGUUCGUCUUCACUCUACUCCCAAGAAGAGAAGAGGGAUAUAUAUACUCUACGAGGAUGUUAAGUCUUGCCCUUGUGAAGAUGUUCAGGUGCUUUGGUCCAUACUAGUGGAGUCUCACCCACAUUCUUUGGCACCACCAAAAUGAGGGUCUUUACAUAAGCACAAAAAAGACGGGAGAUUUACACUCACAUGUACAUAUGUCACACCACUUUUGUCCCAACAUAGGUUCUUUUUUCUUUCUAUUUCUUUGUUCAAGUUUUUCAAUCUUUUGUGAGUCAGGUCCAUCUCAAAAGUCUUAAAUUAUUGAAACUUAUGUCUUUCCCUU